GAUGAAGAACGUAGCGAAAUGCGAUAAGUAGUGUGAAUUGCAGAAUUCAGUGAAUCAUCGAAUCUUUGAACGCACAUUGCGCCUUCUAGUAUUCUGGGAGGCAUGCCUGUUUGAGCGUCAUUAAACCUCUCUCAAGUAUGAUUACUUGGAUGUGAAGGAAGAGUACCUUAAACUUAAGGAGUGUUCUCCUUUGAAAUUGAUUAGCAGAUGGUAAUGUUAUUAAAUCCCUGAUGUUGUAAGAAAUAACAGUGGUUUUGUAGACUAUUAUCUAGCUUUAAAUUAUAAAUUUUAUUAUGGUUGACCUCAAAUCAGGUAAGGAUACCCGCUGAACUUAAGCAUAUCAAUAAGCGGAGGA
rnacentral:misc_RNA from 1 species